rnacentral:rRNA from 1 species
GAAUAUUGCACAAUGGGGGAAACCCUGAUGCAGCAACGCCGCGUGGAGGAAGAAGGUUUUCGGAUUGUAAACUCCUGUCUUUUGGGACGAUAAUGACGGUACCAAAAGAGGAAGCCACGGCUAACUACGUGCCAGCAGCCGCGGUAAUACGUAGGUGGCGAGCGUUGUCCGGAAUUACUGGGCGUAAAGGGCGCGUAGGCGGCCUGUUAAGUCAGAUGUGAAAACCCCAGGCUCAACCUGGGGACUGCAUAUGAAACUGAUGGGCUAGAGUGUCGGAGAGGGAAGCGGAAUUCCUAGUGUAGCGGUGAAAUGCGUAGAUAUUAGGAGGAACACCAGUGGCGAAGGCGGCUUUCUGGACGAUAACUGACGCUGAGGCGCGAAAGCGUGGGGAGCAAACAG